rnacentral:tmRNA from 1 species
GGGGUCGAAACAGGAUCGACGAACGUCUAAAGGGGUUUGCUUUGUUUCGGCUGUCUGCCACCGUUAUCGGCGAAACAUGUACAAUUGCAAAUGACAAUCGUGCUCCAGUAGCGAUGGCCGCGUAAGCGGUUUCAGCCACUGAAACUUAACUCCCUGGGUUUAGCGACCUAGGGCGGGGUUCGCAGGCACCUGGCAACAGAAGCCUGCACU